rnacentral:rRNA from 1 species
AGCAGCCGCGGUAAUUCCAGCUCCAAUAGCGUAUAUUAAAGUUGUUGCAGUUAAAAAGCUCGUAGUUGAAUUUCGGGAUCAAAUUGUCGGUCGUGCCUCGGUACGUACUGGUAUUAUUGGUUCCUCCCUUCUGACGAACCACGAUGUCAUUAAUUUGGUGUCAUGGGAAAUCAGGACUGUUACUUUGAAAAAAUUAGAGUGUUUAAAGCAAGCUCGCGCUUGAAUACAUUAGCAUGGAAUAAUGAAAUAGGACGUUUGAUUCUAUUUUGUUGGUUUCUAGGAUCGACGUAAUGAUUAAUAGGGAUAGUUGGGGGCAUUAGUAUUCAAUUGUCAGAGGUGAAAUUCUUGGAUUUAUUGAAGACUGACUACUGCGAAAGCAUUUGCCAAGGAUGUUUUCAUUAAUCAAGAACGAAAGUUAGGGGAUCGAAGACGAUCAGAUACCGUCGUAGUCUUAACCAUAAACUAUGCCGACUAGGGAUCGGAUGAUGUUAAUUUUUUUCAAUGACUCAUUCGGCGCCUU